ACUUAAGCAUAUCAAUAAGCGGAGGAAAAGAAACUAACAAGGAUUCCCCUAGUAACUGCGAGUGAAGCGGGAAAAGCUCAAAUUUUGAAUCUGGCGGUCUUUUGGCCGUCCGAGUUGUAAUCUAGAGAAGUGUUUUCCGCGCUGGACCGUGUAUAAGUUUCCUGGAAUGGAACGUCGUAGAGGGUGAGAAUCCCGUCUUUGACACGGACUACCAGGGCUAUGUGAUGCGCUCUCGACGAGUCGAGUUGUUUGGGAAUGCAGCUCAAAUAGGGUGGUAAAUUCCAUCUAAAGCUAAAUACAGGCGAGAGACCGAUAGCGAACAAGUACCGUGAGGGAAAGAUGAAAAGAACUUUGGAAAGAGAGUUAAACAGUACGUGAAAUUGCUGAAAGGGAAACGCUUGAUGUCAGUCGCGUCGGCCGGGGAUCAGCCUUGCUUUACCGCUCGGCGUACUUCCUGGUCGACGGGUCAGCAUCAGUUUUGACCGUCGGAAAAGGACUGGAGGAAUGUGGCACUCUUUCGGGAGUGUGUUAUAGACUCUGCUCGAAUACGAUGGUUGGGACUGAGGAACUCAGCACGACCUUAGGGUUCGGGGCUUCGGCCUACGUUCGCGUGCUUAGGAUGCUGGCAUAAUGGCCUUAAGCGACCCGUCUUGAAACACGGACCAAGGAGUCUAACGUGCAUGC
rnacentral:rRNA from 1 species